rnacentral:rRNA from 1 species
CGGCGGAACACGUGGAAUUCCGUCGGAAUCCGGGAGGACCAUCUCCCAAGGCUAAAUACUCCCUAGUGACCGAUAGUGAACCAGUACCGUGAGGGAAAGGUGAAAAGCACCCCGGGAGGGGAGUGAAAGAGUACCUGAAACCGUGUGCCUACAAGUAGUCGAAGCGCGUUAAUGCGUAACGGCGUACCUUUUGUAGAAUGGACCGGCGAGUUACGAUUGUAUGCAAGGUUAAGUGGAAGACACGGAGCCGUAGCGAAAGCGAGUCUGAAUAGGGCGAUUUAGUAUGCGGUCGUAGACCCGAAACCGUGUGAUCUACCCAUGUCCAGGGUGAAGGUCAGGUAACACUGACUGGAGGCCCGAACCCACGUAUGUUGAAAAAUGCGGGGAUGAGGUGUGGGU